CAAGGAGAGCUGAAACGCACAACAAAAUGCACAACAACAAAAAAACACAGCAUCAUUGAACAGACAAAACCAUUUUGGACUCUUCCACUGUCACUGGACGACACACAAGACAAUACCUACGACGUGGAAAGUAGCUUCCAAAGGACUUUCCAGAAAGAAGACUUGAAAGGAAACAAUGUGUACUGCAAAGAAUGUCAAAAGAAAACAGAUGCAACAAAAGAAUGUGAGAUGGUGAAAGAUCCUCAGAUUUUGGCUUUACUCCUCAAGAGAUUUGACAUUGACUACAACACCAUGUCAUAUGUCAAAUCAGACUGCUUUGUGAAUG